rnacentral:rRNA from 1 species
UACGUAGGGGGCAAGCGUUGUCCGGAUUUAUUGGAGCGUAAAGAGCGUGUAGGCGGCUAGAUAGGUCCGUUGUGAAAACUCGAGGCUCAACCUCGAGACGUCGAUGGAAACCAUCUGGCUAGAGUCCGGAAGAGGAGAGUGGAAUUCCUGGUGUAGCGGUGAAAUGCGCAGAUAUCAGGAAGAACACCCGUGGCGAAGGCGGCUCUCUGGUACGUGACUGACGCUGAGACGCGAAAGCGUGGGGAGCGAACAGG